CCCAUCUACAUAGUAUUAGAAAGGAAAAAUGACCGCGGAUCCUUCUGCUUCUCCCUCUCAAGCUCUUCAGAGAGUUCUACUCCUGAAAUUUUUCAGCAACGAUGGUUUGACGACUACAAACGCAAGUUCAAAGAGAUUGAUCAUCAGCUUACCCGACUUUAGGUAGAAGGUCGGAAGUCCUCCAACAACUAUGACCUCCACACUGCCCAGCCUCUC
rnacentral:lncRNA from 1 species